rnacentral:rRNA from 1 species
GUAGCUGGACUGAGAGGUUGAACAGCCACAUUGGGACUGAGACACGGCCCAAACUCCUACGGGAGGCAGCAGUAGGGAAUUUUCGGCAAUGGAGGAAACUCUGACCGAGCAACGCCGCGUGAACGAUGAAGUAUUUCGGUAUGUAAAGUUCUUUUAUUGAAGAAGAAAAAAUAGUGGAAAAACUAUCUUGACGAUAUUCAAUGAAUAAGCCCCGGCAAACUAUGUGCCAGCAGCCGCGGUAAUACAUAGGGGGCGAGCGUUAUCCGGAAUUAUUGGGCGUAAAGGGUGCGUAGGCGGUUUAAUAAGUCUAUAGUUUAAUUUCAGUGCUUAACACUGUCCUGCUAUAGAAACUAUUAGACUAGAGUGAGAUAGAGGCAAGUGGAAUUCCAUGUGUAGCGGUAAAAUGCGUAAAUAUAUGGAGGAACACCAGAGGCGUAGGCGGCUUGCUGGGUCUUUACUGACGCUGAGGCACGAAAGCGUGGGGAGCAAACAGGAUUAGAUACCCUGGUAGUCCACGCCGUAAACGAUGAGUACUAAGUGUCGGGAUUACUCGGUACUGAAGUUAACACAUUAAGUACUCCGCCUGAGUAGUACGUACGCAAGUAUGAAACUUAAAGGAAUUGACGGGACUCCGCACAAGCGGUGGAUCAUGUUGUUUAAUUCGAAGAUACACGAAAAACCUUACCAGGUCUUGACAUACUCUGCAAAGCUAUAGCAAUAUAGUGGAGGUUAUCAGGGAUACAGGUGGUGCAUGGUUGUCGUCAGCUCGUGUCGUGAGAUGUUAGGUUAAGUCCUAAAACGAGCGCAACCCUUGUCAUUAGUUGCCAGCAUGUCAUGAUGGGCACUUUAAUGAGACUGCCAAUGAAAAAUUGGAGGAAGGUGAGGAUCACGUCAAAUCAUCAUGCCCCUUAUGAUCUGGGCUACAAACGUGAUACAAUGGCUGUUACAAAGAGUAGCUGAAACGCAAGUUUAUAGCCAAUCUCAUAAAAGCAGUCUCAGUUCGGAUUGAAGUCUGCAACUCGACUUCAUGAAGUUGGAAUCGCUAGUAAUCGCGAAUCAGCAUGUCGCGGUGAAUA